UACGUAGGGUGCAGGCGUUGUCCGGAAUUAUUGGGCGUAAAGAGCUCGUAGGUGGCCUGUCGCGUCGGCUGUGAAAACUCGGGGCUCAACUCCGAGCUUGCAGUCGAUACGGGCAGGCUAGAGUUCGGCAGGGGAGACUGGAAUUCCUGGUGUAGCGGUGAAAUGCGCAGAUAUCGGGAGGAACAUCAGUGGCGAAGGCGGGUUGCUGGGCCGACACUGACGCUGAUGCGCGAAAGCCAGGGGAGCGAACGGG
rnacentral:rRNA from 1 species